rnacentral:rRNA from 1 species
AUCCUGGCUCAGAAUCAACGCUGGCGGCGUGCCUCAGACAUGCAAGUCGAACGAUUAAAGCUCUCUUCGGAGAGUGCAUAGAGUGGCGCACGGGUGAGUAACACGUAAGUAAUCUACCUUCGAGUGGGGAAUAACGUCCCGGAAACGGACGCUAAUACCGCAUAAUGCAGCGGCAUCGUAAGAUGACAGUUGUUAAAGAUUUAUCGCUUGAAGAGGAGCUUGCGGCAGAUUAGCUAGUUGGUAAGGUAAUGGCUUACCAAGGCUACGAUCUGUAACCGGUCUUAGAGGACGGUCGGUCACACUGACACUGAAUAACGGGUCAGACUCCUACGGGAGGCAGCAGUCGGGAAUUUUGGGCAAUGGGCGAAAGCCUGACCCGGCAACGCCGCGUGAAGGAUGAAGUAUUUCGGUAUGUAAACUUCGAAAGAAUAGGAAGAAUAAAUGACGGUACUAUUUAUAAGGUCCGGCUAACUACGUG